AGGAACAGCCCUGGAACGGGCCCGGCCCGCGCCGCCAUUGAGCUCCCAGCACAAAGUUCUCCGCACCUCCCGGCCCGCCUUACCCAGUCCCUGGUCUUGAGGGUCUCCGGCUCAGCGGGAAGUCAUUCAGGCUCACUUGUCCUACCCCUUAAUUAGGAGCAUCAGUGCAUUGCUUUGAAUUCCCCCCUAAAAGGUUGGGAAGAGCCAACCAAAGCAAAGUGAGCCGGGACCCCCCAGCAGCGCCUCUCUGCCGUCCCAGCUGAAGCCCUCGCUGGCUGCUCCAGGCUGGAGCGGCACACUGGGAGCACUGGGAAGGGGCCCCGGCUCGGGGCGCAGCCCCCGGGGCAGCCCCACGACCCCCACGGCAGCUCCAAGGCUCCGCCAGCCGGAUGGAACCGUGGGACAGGGAGCAGGGCUACCGGCACCGAGAGAACACGAGGGACACCGGGGGCACUUCACAAGCAUUUAAUGAAAAAAAUAAAUUGAUAUGAGAAACAAAACCAACAGCAAUUGUGGCACCAUAGCACAGGGCCACACAAGGACACGUCCCCCAGCAGUGGGGUGAUGCUGGCCCGAGUCCAGGCACCCACCACAGCUGCUCUCUCACUGCUCUCCACAGCUGCACAGGAAGAGGAAAUUUACCAGUGGUCAUGAGUUAAGGACCAGGAGCAUUCCCUCAUCAAAUACCACCACGGGAAAAACAGAAGAGAUUAAUUGAAUUUAUUGCUAACAAGCUCAGAGCAGGAGAAUAAGAAGACCCUUAAAAGCACCCUCCUUUCACCCCUCCUUCCACCUCUACCUCCUACCCUGGCAGUACAGGGACACAGGGAAUGGGGUCAUGGUCACUUCAUCCCCCGGGGCUUUUCCCACUGCUCAGGGACAGGAGUUGUUCCCCUGCCGCACCCUGGGGUCUCUCCCACUGGAAACUUCUCCAGGAACUUCUCCAACCUGAGUCCAUUCCACGGAAACAGCCCCCUCACAAUGCUGCAGCGUGGGUCACUCUGCCACGGGGUCAGUGCUUCCAGGACAGGUGGCUCCUCUCUCCACAGAUCUCCUGUGGGUUCACAGCCUUCCCUCAGGAAUGCCCCUGCUCUGGUGUGAGCACCUCCAGGAGCUGUGGGUGGAUCUCUGCAUCCCCAUGAAUCUCCAGGGGCGGUCAGUUUGCAAUUCUCACCCAUUGCAUUGUGUCAUGAUGGAUGUUCCUGCCCCUGCAUUUAUCGAGGUGCCCACAGGGAGCCAGGAAGAUGUGGAGCCUCCCAGCCAGGUGUCUUCCCAACACCAGGACCACGGAUCACCAGGGCUCUGCCCAACGGGGGUCACUGGGGAUCAUCCAACGCCUCCCAUGGGGGAUGGAGCUGGAGCAGCGCACGAAGCUCUUCCUGCACUCGGGACACUCACAGGGCUUCCCUUACUGGUGCCUUUGAGUGUCUGGUCAAGUUAGAGCUCCUGGAGAAGCUCUUUCCACACUCAGGACACUCGCAGGGCCUCUCCCUGGUGUGGAUACACCAGUGCCUGAUCCCUCCCCAGAAGUCAUCAGGUUGAGAGAGUUCGUUUCCACAGCAGAAAGAGGAUCAUCAGAAGGGCUUUUCUUCGGAACUUUUCAGCCCCUUGUAUAAGGUAUUCCGAUACAGGUUUAACAUGAUUGGUAAAGGGAACAACACCUCUCUAGUCUCAUUGGUGGAACAAGAGUAAACACACUCAUCACAGCUGUACAAUAUGGUUUUGAGAAUCAUAAACUAUUUACAAAAAUAGUCCUUGAGAGAGAAAUGUUCUCAAGAGACUUUCCCUUUGGAAGAGGACUUUUCACUGACAUGCUGAAAACUCUCUCAGACUCAGAAAAUCAGGUCCACAUCUCACCCUUCUUUUCUAUAAAAAACAAAAAAAAAAGAAAAAAUGAGCAAGAUGUUUAAUGUCUGCUUGUAGAGGGACCAUCCAAGUGAGCACUUGCAUCUUCUGCAUCUGUGUCAUCACUCAAAGGUUCCUCCACUUGAUGACCUUCCUCCUGGUCACGGCCUGCAGUUUGCCUGUUGGCUCUGUUCUGCCUUUGUGAUUGCAGGUCAGGACUUUGUAGGUACCCAGUGCACCCCAGUGUCAGUGAAUACACAUGAAUACCCACAACUCAAUGCGAUCAGUUAAAACA